AAUUCAUGUAUGUACAACUCCAUUCAGUAAAUUAAACACCAUAAUUGAUAUUUGGAGGCCACCUGAAGUUACAAGGUAGUAAUAUAGCAAAAUGAUAGGAAAAGAUAGGAAAAUGUCCUUACUCAAAUAUUCAUAUGCUAAUAUCCUUGAAGUUCCCCAUGCCGACAUGCUGAAAAAUCUUGGACCAAACCCUCUAUGUGAACCUCCCCAGCCAUCAUCCUUCAUAAAAUUUUUAACAACUUGUCUUGUGGAGCUCUUCCUUUCUUGUCC
rnacentral:misc_RNA from 1 species